UCCUACGGGAGGCAGCAGUGGGGAAUUUUCCGCAAUGGGCGAAAGCCUGACGGAGUGACGCCGCGUGUGGGACGAAGGCCUUCGGGUCGUAAACCACUGUCGGGAGUUAAGAAAUGUAAGGAUGUUAAUAGCGUCCUUACUUGACUAAGGCUCCGGAGGAAGCCACGGCUAACUCCGUGCCAGCAGCCGCGGUA
rnacentral:rRNA from 1 species